rnacentral:rRNA from 1 species
UACAGAGGGUGCGAGCGUUGUCCGGAAUCACUGGGCGUAAAGGGCGCGUAGGCGGCUUUUCAAGCGUGCGGUGAAAGCUCGGGGCUUAACUCCGAGUCUGCCGUGCGAACUGGGAGGCUUGAGUCUGGUAGAGGUCGAUGGAAUUCCGGGUGUAGCGGUGGAAUGCGUAGAGAUCCGGAAGAACACCAGUGGCGAAGGCGGAACUCUGGGCCGGAACUGACGCUGAGGAGCGAAAGCGUGGGGAGCGAACAGG